rnacentral:rRNA from 1 species
CAGCCGCCGCGGGAAUACGGAGGGUGCAAGCGUUAAUCGGAAUUACUGGGCGUAAAGCGCACGCAGGCGGUCUGACAAGUCAGAUGUGAAAUCCCCGGGCUUAACCUGGGAACUGCAUUUGAAACUGUCAGGCUGGAGUCUUGUAGAGGGGGGUAGAAUUCCAGGUGUAGCGGUGAAAUGCGUAGAGAUCUGGAGGAAUACCGGUGGCGAAGGCGGCCCCCUGGACAAAGACUGACGCUCAGGUGCGAAAGCGUGGGGAGCAAACAGGAUUAGAUACCCCGGUAGUCCCUGUCUCUUAACA